rnacentral:rRNA from 1 species
GAUGAACGCUGGCGGUGUGCUUAACACAUGCAAGUCGAACGGAAAGGCCCUGCUUUUGUGCGGUGCUCGAGUGGCGAAGGGGUGAGUAACACGUGAGUAACCUGCCAUUGCCUUUGGGAUAACUUCAGGAAAGUGGGGCUAAUACCGGAUAGGAGCUCCUGCUGCAUGGUGGGGGUUGGAAAGUUUCGGCGGUUGGGGAGGGACUCGCGGCUUAUCAGCCUGUUAGUGGGGUAGUGGCUUACAUAGGCUUAGACGGGUAGCCGGCCUGAGAGGGGGAACGGCCACAUAGGGACUGCGAUACGGCCCAGACUCCUACGGGAGACAGCAGUGGGGAAUAUUGCACGAUAGGCGGAAGCCUGAUGCAGCAACGCCGCGUGCGAGAUGACGGCCUUCGGGUUGUAAACCGCUUUCGCCUGUGACGAAGCGUGAGUGACGGUAAUGGGUAAAGAAGCACCGGCUAACUACGUG